rnacentral:rRNA from 1 species
UACGUAGGGUGCAAGCGUUGUCCGGAAUUAUUGGGCGUAAAGAGCUCGUAGGCGGUCUGUCGCGUCUGCUGUGAAAACUCAGGGCUUAACCCCUGAGCUUGCAGUGGGUACGGGCAGACUAGAGUGCGGUAGGGGGAGACUGGAAUUCCUGGUGUAGCGGUGAAAUGCGCAGAUAUCAGGAGGGAACACCGGUGGGCGAAAGGGCGGGGUCUC